rnacentral:lncRNA from 1 species
AUGCAAAAAAGAAAAAGGACCGGGGACAGGAUCCACACCACCCACCCCACUGCUCAGGUCUCAAACACAAGGAGCAGCAGAGAGGAGAGCUGCGAGUGGAGUUUGUCCCUGAUGUUCCAGCAAGCUCCUGUCUGCCUGAUGCCCUGCCAUGAGCUCUGGCUCUGGCAGAGCUGCUCCUUUGGCCCUUUUUCCCAGCAGCAGAAGCCACACGACAUUUAUCGAUCAGGGAGGCACAACACUGCUGAGUCCGAGGAGCCGCGGGACGUGCGCGAAGCCCUCUGGAAGAUGGGGAGACCCUGGCUAUGGAGGGGAGAAAACCCACCAGACUCAGCUCCAGUCCCUAUUUCCUCCCCUUUAUAA